AUUGAACGCUGGCGGCAGGCCUAACACAUGCAAGUAGAACGAGUGGCGGACGGGUGAGUAAUGUCUGGGAAACUGCCCGAUGGAGGGGGAUAACUCCUGGCAACGGUAGGUUAUAACGCAUACCAUCGGAUGUGCCCAGAUGGGAUUAGCUAGUAGGUGGGGUAAAGGAUCACCUAGUAGGCGAUCCCUAGCUGGUCUGAGAGGAUGACCAGCCACACUGGAACUGAGACACGGUCCAGCCUCCUACGGGAGGCAGCAGUGGGGAAUAUUGCACAAUGGGCGCAAGCCUGAUGCAGCCAUGCCGCGUGUAUGAAGAAGGCCUUCGGGUUGUAAAGUACUUUCAGCGGGGAGGCGUUACCCGCAGAAGAAGCACCGGCUAACUCCGUGCCAGCAGCCGCGGUAAUAC
rnacentral:rRNA from 1 species